GCAAGUCGAACGGCAGCAUGAGAGAGCUUGCUCUAUUGAUGGCGAGUGGCGGACGGGUGAGUAAUGCGUAGGAAUCUACCUUUUGGCGGGGGACAACCUGGGGAAACUCAGGCUAAUACCGCAUAAGCCCUAAGGGGGAAAGCAGGGGAUCUUUUAGACCUUGCACCGAAAGAUGAGCCUACGUCGGAUUAGCUUGUUGGUGGGGUAAUGGCCUACCAAGCCUACGAUCUAUAGCUGGUUUGAGAGGAUGAUC
rnacentral:rRNA from 1 species